AGCUACUAAGAGCGAAUGGUGGAUGCCUUGACUGGUAAAGGCGAUGAAGGACGUACUAGACUGCGAUAAGCUACGGGGAGCUGUCAAGAAGCUUUGAUCCGUAGAUUUCCGAAUGGGGCAACCCAAUGUAUAGAGAUAUACAUUACCUAUAUAGGAGCGAACGAGGGGAAUUGAAACAUCUUAGUACCCUCAGGAAAAGAAAUCAAUAGAGAUUGCGUCAGUAGCGGCGAGCGAAAGCGCAAGAGGGCAAACCCAGUGCUUGCACUGGGGGUUGUAGGACUGCAAUGUGCAAGAGGUGAGUUUAGCAGAACAUUCUGGAAAGUAUAGCCAUAGAGGGUGAUAGUCCCGUAUGCGAAAAACAAACCUUAGCUAGCAGUAUCCUGAGUAGGGCGGGACACGAGAAAUCCUGUCUGAAGCUGGGUCGACCACGAUCCAACCCUAAAUACUAAUACCAGAUCGAUAGUGCACAAGUACCGUGAGGGAAAGGUGAAAAGAACUGAGGUGAUCAGAGUGAAAUAGAACCUGAAACCAUUUGCUUACAAUCAUUCAGAGCCCUAUGUAGCAAUACAGGGUGAUGGACUGCCUUUUGCAUAAUGAGCCUGCGAGUUGUGGUGUCUGGCAAGGUUAAGCAAACGCGAAGCCGUAGCGAAAGCGAGUCUGAAUAGGGCGCUUAGUCAGAUGCUGCAGACCCGAAACGAAGUGAUCUAUCCAUGAGCAAGUUGAAGCUAGUGUAAGAACUAGUGGAGGACUGAACCCAUAGGCGUUGAAAAGCCCCGGGAUGACUUGUGGAUAGGGGUGAAAGGCCAAUCAAACUUCGUGAUAGCUGGUUCUCUCCGAAAUAUAUUUAGGUAUAGCGUUGUGUCGUAAUAUAAGGGGGUAGAGCACUGAAUGGGCUAGGGCAUACACCAAUGUACCAAACCCUAUCAAACUCCGAAUACCUUAUAUGUAAUCACAGCAGUCAGGCGGCGAGUGAUAAAAUCCGUCGUCAAGAGGGAAACAACCCAGACUACCAGCUAAGGUCCCUAAAUCUUACUUAAGUGGAAAACGAUGUGAAGUUACUUAAACAACCAGGAGGUUGGCUUAGAAGCAGCCAUCCUUUAAAGAAAGCGUAAUAGCUCACUGGUCUAGUGAUUUUGCGCGGAAAAUAUAACGGGGCUAAAGUAAGUACCGAAGCUGUAGACUU
rnacentral:rRNA from 1 species